UAUAAUGUGGUGACCUGUCCUAUUAAGGCUUGACAGCACAGACAAAUUCAACGCAAGGGUCCUGAAGCCUUGUGACGGAUGACAGCUAUACUGUGGUUGACACACUUAAUGUCCACUGGUGCGUCCACUCCGAUGGUCAGCUCGUUUCUCUUGCCGUCCGCCCACGGCUGUACCACAGCUUUCCCCAUCACGCAAAAGGCUACAGCCCCGAGGAUCAAAAUCCCCGAGGUCACGAAAAACACGAUCUGCCACUGCUCGCGAGUUUGCUGGAAGAAAAACGACGUAAAACACAACUGUAUUAAAAAUAAUAACUGGUUUGUUUACCAUAUAUAUUGAUAUAUUGUUUCAGAAAGCUACGUGUUGAAAGGUCUUGGAACAAAAGAGCCAUAGCCUUGUUAAAAACUCAUAGCCCUCUAUAAAAUAACAACCUUUAUUGGUGGACAUUAAUGAAUUCACCCUUAUAUUGUGAGAGGUAUGACUCAUGAAGUGGAAGAUGAAUUUCACUUUACUUGUAUUGUCCAAAUUUCACACAUUAAAGGAAAUUGUCAGUUCCUCCCUGCCUGACUCGUCCCUGCAACAGAAA